rnacentral:rRNA from 1 species
UGGGGAAUUUUGGACAAUGGGCGAAAGCCUGAUCCAGCAAUGCCGCGUGUGUGAAGAAGGCCUUCGGGUUGUAAAGCACUUUUGUCCGGAAAGAAAUCCUUGGCUCUAAUACAGUCGGGGGAUGACGGUACCGGAAGAAUAAGCACCGGCUAACUACGUGCCAGCAGCCGCGGUAAUACGUAGGGUGCAAGCGUUAAUCGGAAUUACUGGGCGUAAAGCGUGCGCAGGCGGUUUGCUAAGACCGAUGUGAAAUCCCCGGGCUCAACCUGGGAACUGCAUUGGUGACUGGCAGGCUAGAGUAUGGCAGAGGGGGGUAGAAUUCCACGUGUAGCAGUGAAAUGCGUAGAGAUGUGGAGGAAUACCGAUGGCGAAGGCAGCCCCCUGGGCCAAUACUGACGCUCAUGCACGAAAGCGUGGGGAGCAAAACAGGAUUAGAUACCCUGGUAGUCCACGCCCUAAAACGAUGUCAACUAGUUGUUGGGGGAUUCAUUUCCUUAGUAACGUAGCUAACGCGUGAAGUUGACCGCCUGGGGAGUACGGUCGCAAGAUUAAAACUCAAAUGGAAUUGACGGGGUCAUAGCUGUUUCCU